UCCUCCGGAGAUUCAGAGAAUCUCUGAAGCUUAAUGGUUUGAGGUAAUUAAUACAUCUGAUAUGAUCAGGUGAUCAGCCUGUAACAGUAGUGUGUAGUCACUGCACACACUGCAAUUAUAGAAAAAACAUGUUCUGUUUAAUCCACCUGUCAAGAUGAAUAGCACAAAUCAAGGAAGUAAUGUGGAAUAUAGUUUUAUAGUGUUUUCUUGUUGUUGUGUUGGAGAUCCAACUUAGUGGGAGAAUGGUGGAAGAAUAAGAAUCGGUCAACAGUUUCUUCAAGUUCACUCUGGUGUACUUGAAAGCAGUGAAAUCUGUGGCCAAUAUUGAAAUAUACAUCGAAUAAAAUUUUCUGUUCUCUUUCCAGACUGCCAUCAAGAAGAAUAACCCACGGAAAUAUCUGCGCAGUGUAGGAGAUGGAGAAACUGUAGAGUUUGAUGUGGUUGAAGGAGAGAAGGGUGCAGAAGCUGCCAAUGUGACUGGCCCGGAUGGAGUUCCUGUGGAAGGGAGUCGUUACGCUGCAGAUCGGCGCCGUUACAGACGUGGCUACUAUGGAAGGCGCCGUGGCCCUCCCCGGAAUGCUGGUGAGAUUGGAGAGAUGAAGGAUGGAGUCCCAGAGGGAGCACAACUUCAGGGACCGGUUCAUCGAAAUCCAACUUACCGCCCAAGGUACCGUAGCAGGGGACCUCCUCGCCCACGACCUGCCCCAGCAGUUGGAGAGGCUGAAGAUAAAGAAAAUCAGCAAGCCACCAGUGGUCCAAACCAGCCGUCUGUUCGCCGUGGAUACCGGCGUCCCUACAAUUACCGGCGUCGCCCGCGUCCUCCUAACGCUCCUUCACAAGAUGGCAAAGAGGCCAAGGCAGGUGAAGCACCAACUGAGAACCCUGCUCCACCCACCCAGCAGAGCAGUGCUGAGUAACACCAGGCUCCCCAGGCACCUUCACCAUCGGCAGG
rnacentral:sRNA from 1 species